UGUUGAAUUGUAAUCCUAAUGUGUUGGAGCAGAGGCCUGGUGGGAGGCUCAGGCAUGGCGGGCUGCAGGUCCCGAGCCCUGCCCGGCGGGAAGGCAGCUAAGGCCCGGCCAGAAAUCGAGCACAGUGCCAGUGGGCUGGCACUGCUGGGGGACCCAGUACACCCUCCGCAGCUGCUGGGCCGGGUGCUAAGCCCCUCAUUGCCCAGGGCCGGCAGGGCGGGUCAGCUGCUCCAAGUGCGGGGC
rnacentral:lncRNA from 1 species